GACUAACUGGCGCUCACAGAAGCCGCAGUGCCCAGUAUGUGUUCAUUGGUUGCGUGCUACACUGGAACCCCCAUAAGUAUGUCGUUUAUCAUCGAUUUCCAAAGGAGAAAGGAGCAAGAAGAGACUGGGUCAUAUUAUGUGACCCAAAGCCUGUCAACAUUGCUUAAAAUCAUGGUCGAAAAGGUGAUGAUUUUCACAUUCAGUCGCAGUGCAAUUUGAACAAUGUGCAGAGAGAAGAGCCAGUGCCUAUGCCGACAGAACAGGGAAGAGAUACACAGCUUAGGCACUGAGGCAGAACCCAUAUUCACGACAUGGGAGGAGGAAAGGCCCCAAAACAGCAGUGGAGAUGCUGUGGAUUAUGCUUUUGUCAUGGAACUUCAGAAGGUCAUACAAGAUGGGAAUUAUACUCCUGAUCAGUUUUUCACCGCAACCAAGACAAGCCUCUUUUGGAAACAUCUUCCUGCCCAGACCUUCAUCAGUUAGAAGGAAAAGAAGUGAGUGACCUAUUCAGUCUUCUGCUGUGUGCAAAUGUAUCAAGCGACCUCAGACUAAAGCCUUUUCUGGUUUAUCAUACUCUCAGAGGAAAUGAAGGUGACAUCACUCCAGAAGUUGCCUGUACACUGGAGAUUUAACAAAAGAGUUUCUUUGACAGCAAGAUUGUUUGAAGACUGGUUUGCCAAAUGUGCUGUUUCAGAAAUCUCAUCUUACUGUAAGCAGAAGAAUCUUGAAGAAAAAUCAGUUCUACUAGUUGAUAAUUGUCUAGGUCAUCCUGAGGUAGUCACUGAUAUUCAUCCGACUAUCAGGGUCAUGUCUUCUUCCAUACAGUAUGUGGAUCAGUUUGCCAUUACUCGGUUUAAGCAGCUUUACACCAAAUUCUUUUUGCACAAGAUGCUUUUCUUCACAGGAGGUAGGGAUGAAAGCCAAGUUGAGAACUUCUGGUUGUCCUUUAGCAUCAAGGAGGCACUCAUUAUCAUCAGAGAUAGUUGGAUGGCUAUUAAAACUCCAUUUCUGAACAGAAUCUAGAGGUAUAUGUGGUGUGGUAUCCUCCAAAAUUAUGUAGAACCCCUGAUACGUUGGGGGAGAUUCAGGAGAUCCAGGAACUCGCAAACAAAAUUUCUGGUGAAGACUUUAUGCAUAUCACCAACGAUGAUAUUCGCAGUCACAUAAAAUCACAUCGGAAAAAUCAAUCAGCAGAAGAGUUAACACAGCUGGCCAAGGCUAUUCAGGAAGAUGACAACCAACAGGAGAUUCCAGAAUCAUCUUUGCCAUCAACCUCAGAACUGAAAAGCAUUAUAAAGCUGCUUUACAGAACUGAAAGAGCAUUGAUAGAGAGAGAGUGGAACCCUUUGAGGUUGGAACACAACCUGACUCACCUCAGAAGUAUAAGGGCUAUAUAAAUAUGGAUGCAUUAGAGAAAAGAGAGAAAAAAGGCUGUCAUAUUUUUAUUAUUUUAAAUAUGAUUUACAUUGAAA